UACUCGAGUGGCGAACGGGUGAGUAACACGUGGGUGAUCUGCCCUGCACUUCGGGAUAAGCCUGGGAAACUGGGUCUAAUACCGGAUAGGAGCCAUUUUUAGUGUGAUGGUUGGAAAGUUUUUUUCGGUGUAGGAUGAGCUCGCGGCCUAUCAGCUUGUUGGUGGGGUAAUGGCCUACCAAGGCGGCGACGGGUAGCCGGCCUGAGAGGGUGGACGGCCACAUUGGGACUGAGAUACGGCCCAG
rnacentral:rRNA from 1 species